rnacentral:rRNA from 1 species
UACAGAGGUCUCAAGCGUUGUUCGGAUUCAUUGGGCGUAAAGGGCGCGUAGGCUGCGGGCAAGUCGGGUGUGAAAUCUCAGGGCUCAACCCUGAAACUGCACUCGAUACUGCUCUGCUUGAGGACUGGAGAGGAGACUGGAAUUCACGGUGUAGCAGUGAAAUGACGUAGAUAUCGUGAGGAAGACCAGUGGCGAAGGCGGGUCUCUGGACAGUUCCUGACGCUGAGGCGCGAAAGGCCAGGGGAGCAAACGGG